UGUUGUAGCCUAUCGCGAUCAAUUAGAUCACCUAGCUGAACAUAGAGUAAGUAAUUUUACGACUAUGAAUACUUGUAAGGGAAUAUAUUCUUUCCAACCAAGUCCAAACAAAUUAUUCACGAUAAGCUACUUCUGAAAAAGCAAUGUAAGGGAAUAUAUUCUGUCAUAAUAUCUUUUCCUAUAUCUUUGCUUACUGAUUUAUAGGCUUAUUUAUAGCCUGCUCUACAUUACUGCUACGUGCUCAGAUUGAAGAUCACUUGCUCAGAUUGCAGUUCCCAUUCUACAACUUCAAAGCAUUCAUCAUCUUCUUCAGAACAAUUCCUAUGAUACGGGUAAAACGUAUGUUGUGUUUGUUGGUCACCAACCGGGAAUAUAUGACAAUUGGGAGGAUGCAAAAAGUCAAGUGCAUCGCUUUAGCGACAAUUUGUAUAAAUCAUAUAACUUGAGGGAUGAAGUCAUUCAAGCUUUCAACAGAUUCAUAAGUAGUCAACGACAUGAUUCCCGAGCAUGCAAUUAUACUUCCGCUUCAAGUUCCAGCUCCACCGUACCAAAUACAAACACAUAUUCGAAUGAGGAAAUCUUAGCUCGUAUGCAAGAUGAACUCGCAUGUGAGAAUCACGAGCACGCGAUGAAAGUGGAUGCAAUCGUUGAAGAAUUUAAACAUCUACUUUCGAAAUAAUUUACUUCAUUGUUGUUUUGCAUGUGUUUAAGUUUAAUGUUUUGUACGCAUAAACCAACCCUAUCA